GAUGAACGCUGGCGGCGUGCUUAACACAUGCAAGUCGAACGGAAAGGCCCAAGCUUGCUUGGGUACUCGAGUGGCGAACGGGUGAGUAACACGUGGGUGAUCUGCCCUGCACUUCGGGAUAAGCCUGGGAAACUGGGUCGAAUACCGGAUAGGAUCACAUUUUGGAUGGUGUGGUGGAAAGUUUUUCGGUGUGGGAUGAGCUCGCGGCCUAUCAGCUUGUUGGUGGGGUAAUGGCCUACCAAGGCGUCGACGGGUAGCCGGCCUGAGAGGGUGUACGGCCACACUGGGACUGAGAGACGGCCCAGGCACCUACGGGAGGCAGCAGUGGGGAAUAUUGAACAAGGGGCGCAAGCCUGAUGCAGCGGGGCCUCGUGGGGGAAGACGGUCUUCGGGUUGAAAACCCAUUUCGCUAGGGACGAAGCGUUAUGUGACGGUACCUGGAGAAGAAGCACCGGCUAACUACGUG
rnacentral:rRNA from 1 species